AUUGAACGCUGGCGGCAGGCCUAACACAUGCAAGUCGAGCGGAUGAAGGGAGCUUGCUCCUGGAUUCAGCGGCGGACGGGUGAGUAAUGCCUAGGAAUCUGCCUGGUAGUGGGGGAUAACGUCCGGAAACGGGCGCUAAUACCGCAUACGUCCUGAGGGAGAAAGUGGGGGAUCUUCGGACCUCACGCUAUCAGAUGAGCCUAGGUCGGAUUAGCUAGUUGGUGGGGUAAAGGCCUACCACGGCGACGAUCCGUAACUGGUCUGAGAGGAUGAUCAGUCACACUGGAACUGGGACACGGUCCAGACUCCUACGGGAGGCAGCAGUGGGGAAUAUUGGACAAUGGGCGAAAGCCUGAUCCAGCCAUGCCGCGUGUGUGAAGAAGGUCUUCGGAUUGUAAAGCACUUUAAGUUGGGAGGAAGGGCAGUAAGUUAAUACCUUGCUGUUUUGACGUUACCAACAGAAUAAGCACCGGCUAACUUCGUG
rnacentral:rRNA from 1 species